UACGGAGGGGGCUAGCGUUGUUCGGAAUGACUGGGCGUAAAGCGCGCGUAGGCGGGCUGGAAAGUCAGGGGUGAAAUCCCGGGGCUCAACCCUGGAAUUGCCUUUGAGACUCCCAGCCUUGAGUUCGAGAGAGGUGAGUGGAAUUCCGAGUGUAGAGGUGAAAUUCGUAGAUAUUCGGAAGGACACCAGUGGCGAAGGCGGCUCACUGGCUCGGAACUGACGCUGAGGUGCGAAAGCGUGGGGAGCAAACAGG
rnacentral:rRNA from 1 species